rnacentral:rRNA from 1 species
GACGAACGCUGGCGGCGUGCUUAACACAUGCAAGUCGAACGCUGAAGACCUGGCUUUUGUUGGGUUGGAUGAGUGGCGAACGGGUGAGUAACACGUGAGUAACCUGCCCUCUUCUUUGGGAUAACGCCCGGAAACGGGUGCUAAUACUGGAUAUUCACUGAUCUUCGCAUGGGGGUUGGUGGAAAGGUUUGUUCUGGUGGGGGAUGGGCUCGCGGCCUAUCAGCUUGUUGGUGGGGUGAUGGCCUACCAAGGCUUUGACGGGUAGCCGGCCUGAGAGGGUGACCGGUCACAUUGGGACUGAGAUACGGCCCAGACUCCUACGGGAGGCAGCAGUGGGGAAUAUUGCACAAUGGGCGAAAGCCUGAUGCAGCGACGCCGCGUGAGGGAUGGAGGCCUUCGGGUUGGAAACCUCUUUCGCUCAUGGUCAAGCCGCAACUGUGGGUUGUGGUGAGGGCAGUGGGUAAAGAAGCGCCGGCUAACUACGUG